GGAUAAUCUACCCUUAGGACCGGGAUAACCCUGGGAAACUGGGGCUAAUACUGGAUAGGCAAUUUUUCCUGCAAUGGUUUUUUGUUUAAAUGUUUUUUCGCCUAAGGAUGAGUCUGCGGCCGAUUAGGUAGUUGGUUAGGUAAUGGCUUACCAAGCCGUUGAUCGGUACGGGUUGUGAGAGCAAGAGCCCGGAGAUGGAACCUGAGACAAGGUUCCAGGCCCUACGGGGUGCAGCAGGCGCGAAACCUCCGCAAUGUGAGAAAUCGCGACGGGGGGAUCCCAAGUGCCAUUCUUAACGGGAUGGCUUUUCAUUAGUGUAAAGAGCUUUUGGAAUAAGAGCUGGGCAAGACCGGUGCCAGCCGCCGCGGUAACACCGGCAGCUCUAGUGGUAACAAUUUUUAUUGGGCCUAAAGCGUCCGUAGCCGGUUUAAUAAGUCUCUGGUGAAAUCCUGUAGCUUAACUGUGGGAAUUGCUGGAGAUACUAUUAGACUUGAGACCGGGAGAGGUUAGAGGUACUCCCAGGGUAGAGGUGAAAUUCUGUAAUCCUGGGAGGACCGCCUGUUGCGAAGGCGUCUAACUGGAACGGUUCUGACGGUGAGGGACGAAAGUUAGGGGCGCGAACCGGAUUAGAUACCCGGGUAGUCCUAACUGUAAACGAUGCGGACUUGGUGUUGGGGUGGCUUUGAGCUGCUCCAGUGCCGAAGGGAAGCUGUUAAGUCCGCCGCCUGGGAAG
rnacentral:rRNA from 1 species